rnacentral:rRNA from 1 species
UCCAGACUCCUACGGGAGGCAGCAGUAAGGGAUAUUGGUCAAUGGGGGAAACCCUGAACCAGCAACGCCGCGUGAGGGAAGACGGUUUUCGGAUUGUAAACCUCUGUCCUCUGUGAAGAUGAUGACGGUAGCAGAGGAGGAAGCUCCGGCUAACUACGUGCCAGCAGCCGCGGUAAUACGUAGGGGGCAAGCGUUAUCCGGAUUUACUGGGUGUAAAGGGAGCGUAGACGGCGACGCAAGUCUGAAGUGAAAUGCCAGUGCUCAACACUGGAACUGCUUUGGAAACUGUGUAGCUAGAGUGCAGGAGAGGUAAGUGGAAUUCCUAGUGUAGCGGUGAAAUGCGUAGAUAUUAGGAGGAACACCAGUGGCGAAGGCGGCUUACUGGACUGUAACUGACGUUGAGGCUCGAAGGCGUGGGGAGCAAACAGGAUUAGAUACCCGAGUA